rnacentral:rRNA from 1 species
CCUACGGUGGACAGCAGUGGGGGAUAUUGCACAAUGGGGGAAACCCUGAUGCAGCGACGCCGCGUGAGUGAAGAAGUAAUUCGGUAUGUAAAGCUCUAUCAGCAGGGAAGAAAAUGACAGUACCUGAGUAAGAAGCCCCGGCUAACUACGUGCCAGCAGCCGCGGUAAUACGUAGGGGGCAAGCGUUAUCCGGAUUUACUGGGUGUAAAGGGAGCGUAGACGGCAGUGCAAGUCUGGAGUGAAAGGCGGGGGCUCAACCCCGGGACUGCUCUGGAAACUGUGCGGCUGGAGUGCAGGAGAGGUAAGUGGAAUUCCUAGUGUAGCGGUGAAAUGCGUAGAUAUUAGGAGGAACACCAGUGGCGAAGGCGGCCUACUGGACUGUAACUGACGUUGAGGCUCGAAAGCGUGGGGAGCAAACAGGAUUAGAUACCCCUGUAGUC